rnacentral:rRNA from 1 species
CAGUCGUACCUUCGGGUAAUCAGCCUUUUGGGUGUGAUUUUGUGGAGCGUGAAGAGUUAAACGCCUUCAUGCCUGCAUAUUCGUGCACUUUGGGUGUACUUGCCCGUAUGGUUGGUUAACAUCAAUUUUGGUGGUCAUAAAAUGACUGGAGGAAUGUAGCUUUGGUCUCGUAUCGAAGUGUUAUAGACUCUGGUAGAUGUGACGAUUGGGGAUUGAGGAUUGCAACGGGAUACCCUUCGGGGCUACUCGUCUGAUCUCUGAAGGUUGCUCCGGUGCCGAAAGCGUGCUUACGGUCA